GCAAUGGUUGGAACAAAUAAGAACCACGUUUCCAUUGUCAGGGUCCAAUAACCAAAGGAAAUGACCUUUCUCCUCUUGAGGAACUAUAUUUCUCUUCAGAGUUUUGGGAAAGCCAAGGGGAACAUUCAGACCCUUUGGCCUCAGGCCAGACUCUGACUAGAUCCCACGGAGGCUCUGACAGCCCUUCUGUGCCUAUCUCCCCUUGAACUACAGCCCAUCUCAUUCCUUCACAGGUGCCAUGACUUUGAGGGGCAGAAGGUGAUAGCAGCACUUCCUGGAGAUUUGCAAAGACAGCGACCUCCCCUGGCCUUUGGAAAAGAAAAGAAAAUUGAGCUGGCAGUGACCACCACGGAAACACAGAAGGACACCUGGGGAAACUGAGGCACAACCCUUGAGGUCUGGUUGGCCAGGGAAGUAAAAUCAGGAAGAAGAGGAGGAGGAGGACGGAGAAGGAGGAAGACGGGGCUGGAAGAAGGAAGGGCUGCAGCAGACGAUUGUGUUGCGUCUCAUUAGGUGAGUGGCUGACCACACACUGGUUGGGUUG
rnacentral:lncRNA from 1 species